rfam:Anaerofustis stercorihominis DSM 17244 Scfld_02_0 genomic scaffold, whole genome shotgun sequence.
GGAUGUGGCUCUGGAGAAUCUCUAAGGAGUGCCGAAGGUGCAAGAUGUAAUAUAUAACAUUACAUUAAUCUCUCAGGCAAAAGGACAGAGUAUAAUAA